rnacentral:rRNA from 1 species
UUCCAGACUCCUACGGGAGGCAGCAGUAGGGAAUAUUGCUCAAUGGGGGAAACCCUGAAGCAGCAACGCCGCGUGAAGGAAGAAGGCUUUCGGGUUGUAAACUUCUUUUCUCAGGGACGAAGAAAGUGACGGUACCUGAGGAAUAAGCCACGGCUAACUACGUGCCAGCAGCCGCGGUAAUACGUAGGUGGCAAGCGUUAUCCGGAUUUAUUGGGUGUAAAGGGCGUGUAGGCGGGAGCGCAAGUCAGAUGUGAAAACUCAGGGCUCAACCCUGAGCCUGCAUUUGAAACUGUGUUUCUUGAGUGCUGGAGAGGCAAUCGGAAUUCCGUGUGUAGCGGUGAAAUGCGUAGAUAUACGGAGGAACACCAGUGGCGAAGGCGGAUUGCUGGACAGUAACUGACGCUGAGGCGCGAAAGCGUGGGGAGCAAACAGGAUUAGAUACCCGCGUA